rnacentral:rRNA from 1 species
UACGUAGGGUGCAAGCGUUGUCCGGAAUUAUUGGGCGUAAAGAGCUCGUAGGCGGUCUGUCACGUCGGAUGUGAAAACCCAGGGCUCAACCCUGGGCCUGCAUUCGAUACGGGCAGACUAGAGUUCGGUAGGGGAGACUGGAAUUCCUGGUGUAGCGGUGAAAUGCGCAGAUAUCAGGAGGAACACCGGUGGCGAAGGCGGGUCUCUGGGCCGUAACUGACGCUGAGGAGCGAAAGCGUGGGGAGCGAACAGG